rnacentral:rRNA from 1 species
UACGAAGGGGGCUAGCGUUGCUCGGAAUCACUGGGCGUAAAGCGCACGUAGGCGGAUUGUUAAGUCAGGGGUGAAAUCCUGGAGCUCAACUCCAGAACUGCCUUUGAUACUGGCGAUCUUGGAGUCCGGGAGAGGUGAGUGGAACUCCGAGUGUAGAGGUGAAAUUCGUAGAUAUUCGGAAGAACACCAGUGGCGAAGGCGGCUCACUGGCCCGGUACUGACGCUGAGGUGCGAAAAGCGUGGGGAGCAAACAGG